AUACGGAGGGGGCUAGCGUUGUUCGGAAUUACUGGGCGUAAAGCGCGCGUAGGUGGAUCGUUAAGUCAGGGGUGAAAGCCCGGAGCUCAACUCCGGAACUGCCCUUGAUACUGGCGAUCUCGAGUCCGGGAGAGGUGAGCGGAAUUCCUAGUGUAGAGGUGAAAUUCGUAGAUAUUAGGAGGAACACCAGUGGCGAAGGCGGCUCACUGGCCCGGUACUGACGCUGAGGUGCGAAAGCGUGGGGAGCAAACAGGAUUAGAAACCCUAGUAGUCC
rnacentral:rRNA from 1 species